GGACUACUGGGGUAUCUAAUCCUGUUUGCUCCCCACGCUUUCGUGCCUCAGCGUCAAUUAACAUGUAGUAAGCUGCCUUCGCUAUCGGUGUUCUAUGUCAUAUCUAAGCAUUUCACCGCUACAUGACAUAUUCCGCUUACCUCCAUGAUAUUCAAGAUAAAUAGUAUCAACGGCAGUUUCCGAGUUAAGCCCGGAGAUUUCACCACUGACUUACUUAUCCGCCUACGCACCCUUUAAACCCAGUGAAUCCGGAUAACGCUUGCACCCUCCGUAUUACCGCGGCGGCUGGCAC
rnacentral:rRNA from 2 species